GACGAACGCUGGCGGCGUGCUUAACACAUGCAAGUCGAACGGAAAGGCCCUGCUUUUGUGGGGUGCUCGGGGGGCGAAGGGGGGAGUAACCCGUGAGUAACCUGUCCUUGCCUGUGGGAUAACUUAAGGAAACUGGGGCUAAUAGCGGCAAGGAGCUCCUGCUGCAUGGUGGGGGUUGGAAAGAUUAGGCGGUUGGGGAUGGACUCGCGGAUUAUGAGCUCGUUGGUGGGGUAGUGGCUUAGCAAGGCUUGGACGGGUAGCCGGCCUGAGAGGGUGACAGGCCACAUUGCUACUGAGCUGCGGCCCAGACUCCUACGGUACGCGACAGUGGGGAAUAUUACACUAGGGGCUGAGGCCUGGUGCGACCCCGCCGCGUCCGGGGUGACGGCCUUCGGGUUGUAUACCACUUUCGCCUGUGACGGAGCGAUAGUGACGGUAAUGGGUAAAGAAGCUCCGGCUAACUACGUG
rnacentral:rRNA from 1 species